GAGAGUUCCAGGCCAGCUAAAACUGGUCACAGAGUGAGCUCCUGUUUAAAAUAAAAUAAAAUGAUUUCCCCCUGAAACCAAGGCAUCGUUAGUGGUCAUGGAAGCAGUGCUCUCCGUCCGGCUUGUGUCUCGCUCUGACGUUCUUCCCUCGUCUCCCAGGCGUGCCAGGGCUCAAGGCCGAGCGCUUCGAAGAGGGGAUGGAGGUCAAGCACUGUGCGCUGUCACUCGUGGGUGAGCCAAUAAUGUACCCAGAGAUCAACAGGCUUUUGAAGCUGCUCCACCAGCACGGGAUCUCCACUUUCCUUGUCACCAAUGCACAGUUCCCUGAGGAAAUCAGGAACCUCACACCAGUUACUCAGCUCUAUGUAAGUGUGGACGCCAGCACCAAAGACAGCCUGAAGAAGAUCGACCGCCCGCUCUUCAAGGAUUUCUGGCAGCGAUUCCUAGACAGUUUGCAAGCCUUAUCUGCAAAGCAACAGCGAACCGUCUACAGACUGACACUUGUGAAGUGUUGGAACGUGGACGAGCUCCAGGCCUACGCCGAGCUGGUGUCUUUGGGGAGCCCCGACUUCAUCGAGGUCAAGGGCGUGACCUACUGCGGUGAGAGUGCAGCCAGCAGCCUCACCAUGGCCAACGUCCCUUGGCACGAGGAAGUUGUCCGGUUUGUCCGUGAGCUGGUGGAUCUGCUUCCUGACUAUGAAAUUGCGUGUGAACAUGAACACUCCAACUGCCUCCUGAUUGGACACAAGAAGGUGAGAUGUGUGCUUCGUCCCCUUCUUGCCCCUUUCUUUUCUUCUUUGUGCCCCUUACUUGAUCCUAGGAGGAUGCCCGCUUGUCCACUGUCUUCCCUAAUCCAAGUGUUAAGAAA
rnacentral:lncRNA from 14 species